rnacentral:lncRNA from 1 species
UGAGUGAGUUAUGGCCGUUUUCGUAAAGUAGGACGAAUCUGUCCGAGAAUCUGAUUUUGGCAAAACAGUCAACAUCGACCGGAUUUUGUGAACAGCUCCUGAUGAACCAGAAUGUGUGUAAUAUACGGUUAGAAAGCUAAAUGAGUCUAGUUUCCAAAACCGUUUAAGGUUCGUUCAUAUGUAUUUCCUAGAGAAAGUUACGACUGUUCUAGUAAUUGAAGGUCAUGCUGCGCGGAAAUCUGAUUUCCUGCACGAACUUAUGUUUUGAGUUCACAAGCGACCUUCUCCUCAAGAUCUAAGUGUAAAAGAUCAUUUGAGAACAAUACGGCAUGAUUUAGUUAAUCAUUGUCUAAUACCACAUUUGAAGACAUGUUAAAGAGCAUUGACAUGCUAAGUUUUUGAAACUUCCGUGAUUAGUAAGAAUCAGGAAGAGCCCCAUGAUUGAUGUAAAGAUCAGGGGAAAGUGUGAACUUCAGGGGGAGUCUAGCACAUACAUACAUGUCACUAUCAAAUGUGAAGGGUGCGUUGUACUCUUUUUCUCCUACGAUCAAAGUUCAGUUUUUCUCCCACAGGGUUUUUGUGACUUGACGAGGUUUUUAACGAGGCAACAGAUCAGCACCAUCGGCAUAUCAGCGCGCGGCACAAGGGGGAGUGUUCUAGGAUAUUCUCUAUGUGUGCUUUGGCCUUAUGCCAAUAGGAUAUGUAGUUAGACUAGAUCUAUGUAUUCAUAUCCUUACCAUAUUGGUAUUGUGUAAUUCCCUAUAUAAAGGGCUCCUAUCAAUGAAUAAUAUGAUGAUUAUCUUGCCAUCUCUUUAUCUCUACCAUUAAUCCUUCAUCAUUUUUUUUAUUCUUCAGUAAUUUCAUUUACACAUGGCUAAUUACUAGCUACACGACCUUGUUUUCUAUAUGAUCUUUUCCAUCCACAUAAUACAUGUUAAAAUGGGUUAGGUUUCUCUUAUUUUUUAAGAACUAAAAUAAAAUUAGUCAUUACUCACGACAUCUAUAUAAUCGUAAACAAUAACAACUAUUUUCUCUUAUAAUGAUUUGGAUGUUACGAAACAAACAUUAC